AUUUGGAAAGUCAAAAGUUUAACUGGGCGCCAGGAAGCUGAUGGGCAAACCCUACUUCUGCCCCGUCAUCCUGGCAGCGUGGGAGCUGUCACUCGGUUUGACCACCUCCCUCUCGCUCCAAGUUCGAUUGGAAACAUUAACACCUGAAGCCACGUUAAUUUCUGAUUCUCCUGCCUCUGCCUCCUGUGUGUACCACCUCGCGUGGGUUAUGUGGUACACGGGACCCAGAUCCAGGGUUCUCUGCAUGCCAGGCAAGAACUCUGCGGACUGAGCUGCAUCACUACCCAAGUGAAAAUAUUUUAAUUUAAAAAUGACUUACUGUCUGUAACUGCUUCUCUGCUACAGUAGUGGACUUGCCCAGUGGAGAUCCUGGGGCAGCAAAGCCUACAAUAAAUAAAUGCUACAGAUGAUGUUACUGA